rnacentral:rRNA from 1 species
UACAGAGGUCUCAACCGUUGUUCGGAUUCAUUGGGCGUAAAGGGUGCGUAGGCGGUCGUGCAAGUCGGAUGUGAAAUCCUGGAGCUCAACUCCAGAACUGCCUUUGAUACUGGCGAUCUUGAGUCCGGGAGAGGUGAGUGGAACUGCGAGUGUAGAGGUGAAAUUCGUAGAUAUUCGCAAGAACACCAGUGGCGAAGGCGGCUCACUGGCCCGGUACUGACGCUGAGGUGCGAAAGCGUGGGGAGCAAACAGG